UGCCACAGCCAUAUCACCCUGUAGCCCUAGACUGGUUAUUCUCUGAAGCUAAGCAGGGUUGAGCCUGGUCAGUACCUGGGUGACCACAUGGAAAAACUAGGUUGCUGUUGGAA
rnacentral:rRNA from 1 species